rnacentral:misc_RNA from 1 species
AACCAUUCUCACCUGCGGCUAGACCUGCGGAAGGAUCAUUACCGAGUUAGGGUGUCCGUUCGCAGCGCCCGACCUCCCAACCCUUUGUCUAUGAUACCUAAACAGUUGCUUCGGCGUGCCGAGGGGUCGUACCCUCGCCGGGCCUCACGGCCGGGAGCGCGCACGUCGACGGCCUUUAUCUAACACUUGAACCCAAAACCUGUCGUCUGAAAACUUGUGAUUAACCAAUAAUCAAAAACA